rnacentral:tRNA from 101 species
GCGCCGCUAGCUCAGUUGGUUAGAGCAGCUGACUCUUAAUCAGCGGGUCCGGGGUUCGAGUCCCUGGCGGCGCACGA